GCGUGUGUAGCUCAGUUGGCAGAGCAUACGACUCUUAAUCGUACGGUCGAGGGUUCGAUCCCCUCCGCACGCA
rnacentral:tRNA from 1 species